GUGCUUGCUUCGGCAGCACAUAUACUAAAAUUGGAAUGACACAGAGAAGAUUACAUGGCCCCUGCGCAAGGAUGACACGUGAAUUUGUGAAGCGUUCCAUAUUAAA
ensembl:snRNA U6 U6 spliceosomal RNA